AUCCGCGGAUCCCUCCGCCCUUCUAGUCACGGAACCGGGCCGAACCAGCCCGUAAACCGUUGACAGCUGACCUGGCAAGUCCUGGUGUCCUGAAGUCCCUACUUGUUUGGUGACUCUGAAACAGCUGACUUAGGUUUGCGUGGCACAGGCUGGCAUGGGCUUACUUCCACGAAUGCUGGAGCUAAGCUACAGUACACUUUUACACACUGGGCAGCUUUGAGGUGCUUUGGUGGGGCAGUAGGAAGUAUCUACUACUGUGUGGGAUUUAUCACCACACAGUGAUGUGUGUGCUGGGGUGUAAGGGCAACCCAAAGGGCUGAGGAAGUACAUGGGAGACACAUGAACAAUUUGGGUAAAUGCCAGCGAUACACAAUGCGAAUUGCAUGGCUGCCAAACCAGUUACACAUUGCUGGGCAGUGUGGACAACAGAUAUCCACAGUAGAUUGACCUGAAAGAGGUCACAAAUAUAUAAAUCUCCUCCACCAGCAAACAAACUUUUCUCUUUUCUUUUCUAGCUUGUUUCUGCCAUCUACACCCACACAGUGAUGACCCAUUCAGUGUCUUCUCUAGUCUCUGAUGAGAACCAGCUCACCCACACCUGCCAAAGGCUGCUGAAGAAAGGCCAGGAGCUGCUCUGCCCUUGGUUUUUGUGUGUGUCUGACACUGACGGUAACCUCCAUUCAGAAAAAUAAGCAUAUUAUCAACACAUCCAGGAAGAGGCACCUGAAAGCUCAUCUUUGUCUUUCUGUUUGGUCUUCCAGACAGAUUGCUUUACUCAUACAGAGGCUCACUCAUUUUAACAUCCUUGCAGGAGUUGCUAACAUGCUCUGCCACGUGCUUCUUAUAUAAGGCUCCACUGAACAACUUUGUUCCACCCUAAGUGCAAGGGUAGUGAAAUUCAGCAUGAAAAAUGGUGGGAGAAGACAAAACACAUUCUGUAGCUCUUACAGCAAAAUGUGGAUUUGCUCUCAGGUCCAUUAUAUCAGCAAGCCCACCCGUAUGCUAAUUUGCUGUUUCUUUGAUAUUUGAAAAAGUAUUUGAAUUGAAAAGAAAAUAAUAAAUGCACUGCCUGUUUUCUGUUUCCUUCAUAGGGACUAUAUUUGUUCUCUAUGACAGAAAUGGCCUUUUGUACACCAAAUUUAAAUUUCUGAAUUCAAAUUGUGGAGAAAAAAUAAAAAGAAUCUCACAGAAGCAAACAUGAAAUUGCUUCUUGAAGCCUCGAGUGUUACACAGGCUUUUAUUUUAAUAGAAUGAUGAAGCAAAUAAAAUGAUGCAGGGUGUUCUAUGUGUUAUCUAUCACCAGGACUUCAGUAGUGAUGGUUUAAGCCUGCAACAGAGGUUAACAAUCCUGGGGGGGGAAGAUUUGGGUUUGCUGGAGGUGAAAAGAUGGAUGUUAGGUGCCAAUGUACUGCUGCUAAGGGUUAAAGUACCCUACCCAGAUACCUAACAAGGAGCACAGCCUGAAAGACGUGCGAAAUAAUCUUAUCCUAAGGAUUGAAAAGCCUCAAAGGUAUCCAGCUAAUGUGGUGCACAGGUUAUAUGAGAGCUGCAUAUCUAGAACGAUUGUGAUCUCACAAACCAGAGUAGGCACUACAGAAGUAAGGAAUGGGCACCAUUCCUCAGGAUUUUGGAAAACAUAACAUGAUGUCAUUAAGCUCAGAGCUGAAAGGGCUGUGUGAACACUAUGGACCCUUGAGCUAUGCAUAAUGUAAUACAAAGAAGAAAAGAUUCAUGACUCUGGGCAGAUUUGGAGCCCAUCCUCUCCCCUAAGAGCGGGAGAGUAACAUGAUUUGCUCAGGGACAUGAUUUAGUGGUGCGUUGUUAGAGUUAGGGUGGUAUUGUUAGGCUGCAGUUGGACUUGAUGAUCUUUAAGGUCUUUUCCAACUGAGCAAUUCUAUGAUUCUAAGCUGAAGGGACCAAGAGAGAAGCCUCUGUGGCCUGCUGCCUGCUGCAUAUUCCUUGUCAUAUAAACGUCUGGGUGUUUAAAACAUGGAACAUGCCUGAGAAAUUGUUAGAAAAUGACAGUGGGGCAGAAGCCCCAUCUUGCUGUGGCUUGUCUGUCCUCAGGCCCAACUGGAGACCAAUGAUACAGAGUUCAAUUUUUCAAGGUGCACCUGCCAUGCCUAUACCUACCUCCCCCUCCUGCACAACCUGUCUCAGAGAUACUGUCUGCUUGACUCAAGCCUUCCUUGACAGCAGGAAUCCUGAGAGCUCUGAAGUAACACACUGAGGCUCUUUUGGUUUUCAAGUGUUGUGGGCAAUGUCUGUACAGUUAGCUCAUGAAAUGGAAGCCAGCGGGAGACAAGUUUCCAUUUGGAUACCAAUUUUUUUGGCUUUAAUCCAUCAUCACGAGAACAUUGUUUGGUCCAUUUUUUGAAGGUAACUGGGGGUCACCUGUCUCUGGUGCAGACCUCAAAUCUCUAGUUCCAUGACUUGGAAAUUCUGUACCUGAAGUUACCAAGUGCUGUGUCCUCCCCUGUGUACUUUAAGUUCUCCCACUGACUUCAACCUGAACAGAACAAACUCUCAACUCGGUAAAUUAAACACUCAUAAGCACAGGUUCAUAUGCUGAACUACAUCCCAUGCUUGAGAACUUGGUUGAAUACAGAGAAAUUUUGGCACUGGCAUCUUGUCAGAAACAGCCUCCUGGCUACAAAGAAACAAAUUGCUUUCUGUGUUGACUGUAUUUUUUCCCCUCAUUUAACCUUUGGUUUAUUUCUUUGUCUGCCUUAGGCUUGUGCCUUUCAGAGCUGAGGUCAUCUUUGAUGGAAGGUGCCUUGCAUGGGGCUAUGAACAGUGAGCAAAAGUGGAUAAAAUCAGAGACACCGAGGCAGGAACUCUCUAAGAAGAAAGCCUAAAGCUCUUAAAAGCCAAACUUCAGAAGAGACAUGAGGAAGCUGGUUGCAACUGUGUUCCCAUGAAGCUCCAGAGGAGCUGGCAUCCAUGGAGCAAGGGCUCUGCUGGCACAGCUGGCCCAUCUCAAAAUGUUAAAAAGCCCUCUCAAACUCUGUCCCCAAACCAGCAUCUGAUUUUGAGCAAACCCCUGGUUUGAAUGAGUGCACCAGCACCGAAGGUUUGUUGUGUCUGUGAGGCAAUGUGUUACACUCCCAUUCCCGUGUGCAGUAUACCACCAGCACAGGCCUUGUAAGGUGGAGAGAUGAGUGCAAUGGACCACAGAGCUGAAACAAAGCUUCAGUGGUAAGGGGUAACGGCAGGAGCUCUUGUGAGGUUCCAGUUGUCUUGAAAAAACUCCUCAAAAGGAAGGGCAGUAAGAAAGAGGGAAAAGCACUCACCUCUUCCCCAUCACAGCUGGGAAUGACCUUUAUUUAGACUGGCAUGUUGUUCUUCGUUGCCAGAGUCUGUGCUCAUGGAGGGUGAGUCUGUAAUGAUAUGUUUGUGAUUCAUUAUAUAAGUGAUAGUGACUAAUGUCGUUUUGCAUGUCAUCAGGGGAUUAAACACAAUCCACUUAAUGCACAAGGAACUCCACUAUAAAAAUGUAUUUGUGAUUGCUACUGAUGACAAAUGUUGGCUUCUGAAGUCUGAGCUACUAUCAGACAAAUCCGAGGACUUCCUGGAGGCCUGCCUAUUCCCUUGAAAUACCUUAUUAAUUAACAUUUUGCCUACAAUAAGCAGUUCACAAAAGCAAGCCUCAGACAGACAUUACUGUCUGUGUUAAAUAAAUUGCUGUUCCUCCCUUGUACCUCACUGUGCUAUGAGAAUACAUCUGCAUGUGCCUCUUGUCAGUAUGGCAGUCUUUCUAAAUUCUAUUAGUGAGACUUUUCUUAAAAUCAAAGGGAAAGACAGUCAGAAGUAGAGAGUACAGCAAAAUGCAGAGGUGGCACCGGAGUGUGGUGUUCAUUCUGGUAUUGACUGGUGUCAAAGGACGGGAGCCCUCAGGGGGACUUGCUGUUCUUUGGAAUUACACAUGGCUUAGUCUGUGUUUGUUUGUUUGUUUUCAAUCAUGACAUACUCCCACAACUAGAUAUUUACAGAAUUACGAUGCAUUUUUGACUCCAUUGCACUACAAACCAAUUCUGGGAGCGGGUUAGCAUGGAGUUAUAGUUAUGGAGCAUCUCCUCAAGCUCAGUGUGGGGCUCCAGCAGGACAGCUGCCCUACCGCCAGCCUGGAAGCAGUAGUUAUUUCUGAGCUGUGUUUGCUCUAAACAGAGGACCUUAUUUCUGCCCCACGUUAGAGUUAGCCUGAAGGAACACACUUCAUGUGGGUCAUCAGAGAAUCAGACUAGGAGGUUUCUGGAAAGAAAUAGGAAUUUUCUGGUCUUAUGAAAAUGGGGCCUGCUGUGUAAGGGCUGGAACAGUAACUAUGGCCUCAGCUGUAACUAUGUAACAUGAGUGGACUGAUCAAACAGGAAACAGAAUCUGCUAGCUUGGUUCCUGUCAAAGAAAAUGCCUUCUCAGUGUGAAGCUCUGGAGGUUACAGACAAGCCAUGAAAGACAAAAAAAA